GAUGAACGCUGGCGGCGUGCCUAAUACAUGCAAGUCGAGCGAACAGACGAGGAGCUUGCUCCUCUGACGUUAGCGGCGGACGGGUGAGUAACACGUGGAUAACCUACCUAUAAGACUGGGAUAACUUCGGGAAACCGGAGCUAAUACCGGAUAAUAUAUUGAACCGCAUGGUUCAAUAGUGAAAUACGGUUUUGCUGUCACUUAUAGAUGGAUCCGCGCCGCAUUAGCUAGUUGGUAAGGUAACGGCUUACCAAGGCAACGAUGCGUAGCCGACCUGAGAGGGUGAUCGGCAACACUGGAACUGAGACACGGUCCAGACUCCUACGGGAGGCAGCAGUAGGGAAUCUUCCGCAAUGGGCGAAAGCCUGACGGAGCAACGCCGCGUGAGUGAUGAAGGUCUUCGGAUCGUAAAACUCUGUUAUUAGGGAAGAACAAAUGUGUAAGUAACUAUGCACGUCUUGACGGUACCUAAUCAGAAAGCCACGGCUAACUACGUG
rnacentral:rRNA from 1 species